rnacentral:rRNA from 1 species
GACGAACGCUGGCGGCGUGCUUAACACAUGCAAGUCGAGCGGUAAGGCCCUUUCGGGGUACACGAGCGGCGAACGGGUGAGUAACACGUGGGUGACCUGCCCUUAGCUCUGGGAUAAGCCUGGGAAACUGGGUCUAAUACCGGAUAUGACUCCAUAACGCAUGUUGUGGGGUGGAAAGCCUUGUGCGGCUAGGGGAUGGGCCCGCGGCCUAAUCAGCUUGUUGGUGGGGUGAUGGCCCACCAAGGCGACGACGGGUAGCCGGCCUGAGAGGGCGACCGGCCACACUGGGACUGAGACACGGCCCAGACUCCUACGGGAGGCAGCAGUGGGGAAUCUUGCGCAAUGGCGAAAGCCUGACGCAGCGACGCCGCGUGGGGA